GUGCUCACUUUGGCAGCACAUAUACUAAAAUUGGAACAUACAGAGAUUAGCAUGUCCCCUGUGCAAGGAGGACAUGCAAACUCGUGAAGCGUUCCAUGAUUUU
rnacentral:snRNA from 1 species